rnacentral:rRNA from 1 species
ACUAGCCACGAGAUGAGACUUCCUUAUAGGGCCGUAGUAGACUACUACGUUGAUAGGUUGCAGGUGUAAAGGUAGAAAUACCAUAGCUGAGCAAUACUAAUCACCCGAAGCUUUCUCAAG